rnacentral:rRNA from 1 species
UAUCAUUUAGAGGAAGGAGUUGUCGUAACAAGGUUUCCGUAGGUGAACCUGCGGAAGGAUCAUUG